CCUACGGGGGGCAGCAGUGAGGAAUAUUGGUCAAUGGACGAGAGUCUGAACCAGCCAAGUAGCGUGAAGGAUGACUGCCCUAUGGGUUGUAAACUUCUUUUAUAUGGGAAUAAAAUGUUCCACGUGUGGGAUUUUGUAUGUACCAUAUGAAUAAGGAUCGGCUAACUCCGUGCCAGCAGCCGCGGUAAUACGGAGGAUCCGAGCGUUAUCCGGAUUUAUUGGGUUUAAAGGGAGCGUAGGUGGAUUGUUAAGUCAGUUGUGAAAGUUUGCGGCUCAACCGUAAAAUUGCAGUUGAAACUGGCAGUCGUGAGUACAGUAGAGGUGGGCGGAAUUCGUGGUGUAGCGGUGAAAUGCAUAGAUAUCACGAAGAACUCCGAUUGCGAAGGCAGCUCACUGGACUGCAACUGACACUGAGGCUCGAAAGUGUGGGUAUCAAACAGGAUUAGAUACCCUAGUAGUC
rnacentral:rRNA from 1 species